rnacentral:rRNA from 1 species
AAAAAAGGUAAGCUACUAAGAGCGAAUGGUGGAUGCCUUGACUGGUAAAGGCGAUGAAGGACGUACUAGACUGCGAUAAGCUACGGGGAGCUGUCAAGAAGCUUUGAUCCGUAGAUUUCCGAAUGGGGCAACCCAAUGUAUAGAGAUAUACAUUACCUAUAUAGGAGCGAACGAGGGGAAUUGAAACAUCUUAGUACCCUCAGGAAAAGAAAUCAAUAGAGAUUGCGUCAGUAGCGGCGAGCGAAAGCGCAAGAGGGCAAACCCAGUGCUUGCACUGGGGGUUGUAGGACUGCAAUGUGCAAGAGGUAAGUUUAGCAGAACAUUCUGGAAAGUAUAACCAUAGAGGGUGAUAGUCCCGUAUGCGAAAAACAAACCUUAGCUAGCAGUAUCCUGAGUAGGGCGGGACACGAGGAAUCCUGUCUGAAUCCGGGUCGACCACGAUCCAACCCUAAAUACUAAUACCAGAUCGAUAGUGCACAAGUACCGUGAGGGAAAGGUGAAAAGAACUGAGGUGAUCAGAGUGAAAUAGAACCUGAAACCAUUUGCUUACAAUCAUUCAGAGCCUUAUGUAGCAAUACAGGGUGAUGGACUGCCUUUUGCAUAAUGAGCCUGCGAGUUGUGGUGUCUGGCAAGGUUAAGCAAACGCGAAGCCGUAGCGAAAGCGAGUCUGAAUAGGGCGCUUAGUCAGAUGCUGCAGACCCGAAACGAAGUGAUCUAUCCAUGAGCAAGUUGAAGCUAGUGUAAGAACUAGUGGAGGACUGAACCCAUAGGCGUUGAAAAGCCCCGGGAUGACUUGUGGAUAGGGGUGAAAGGCCAAUCAAACUUCGUGAUAGCUGGUUCUCUCCGAAAUAUAUUUAGGUAUAGCGUUGUGUCGUAAUAUAAGGGGGUAGAGCACUGAAUGGGCUAGGGCAUACACCAAUGUACCAAACCCUAUCAAACUCCGAAUACCUUAUAUGUAAUCACAGCAGUCAGGCGGCGAGUGAUAAAAUCCGUCGUCAAGAGGGAAACAACCCAGACUACCAGCUAAGGUCCCUAAAUCUUACUUAAGUGGAAAACGAUGUGAAGUUACUUAAACAACCAGGAGGUUGGCUUAGAAGCAGCCAUCCUUUAAAG